GCUACAGACGUGAGAAGGGCUUCCGCGACGGUGACGUUCGGGGGCCUUUUUCUUUUGCGGU
rnacentral:antisense_RNA from 2 species